rnacentral:misc_RNA from 1 species
CAGAACACCAUUUGAAGGACUAGUGAAAUUUGUUGAAGAAACAGUGAGGAUUCAGCAUGCUGCAUCACCAAAUAGACCAAUUUAUCUAGUGGGAGAUUCCUUUGGAGGAUGUCUAGCACUCGCUGUUGCUGCACGUAAUCCUAAAAUUGCCCUUGUCCUGAUACUAGCCAAUCCAGCUACAUCAUUUGGCAGGUCACAAUUACAGCCCCUCCUUCCUGUCUUGGAGGCUUUGCCUAAUGGAUUACAUAAUGCAGUCCCCUAUCUUCUUAGCUUUGUUAUGGGUGAUCCACUGAAGAUGGCAAUGGUUGAUAUUGAAAAUAGGCUUCUUCCCAAAUCAAAAAUUGAACAACUGUCUGGCAAUCUCACUGCUUUAUUACCACUUCUUUCUGGUUUGACUGAUAUCUUUCCAA